GACGAACGCUGGCGGCGUGCUUAACACAUGCAAGUCGAACGGAAAGGCCCUGCUUUUGUGGGGUGCUCGAGUGGCGAGCGGGUGAGUAACACGUGAGUAACCUGCCCUUGACUUUGGGAUAACUUCAGGAAACUCGGGCUAAUACAGGGUAGGAGCUCCUGAUGCAUGGGGGGGGUUGGAAAGUUUCGGCGGUUGGGGAUGGACUCGCGGCUUAUCAGCUUGUUGGUGGGGUAGUGGCUUACCACGGCUUUGACGGGUAGCCGGCCUGGGAGGGUGACCGGCGACAUUGCGCCUGCGAGACGGCCCAGACGCCUACGGGAGGCAGCAGUGGGGAAUAUUGCGCAAUGGGCGGACGCCUGAUGCAGCAACGCCGCGUUCGUGAUGACCUCUUUCGGGUUGUAAACCGCUUUCGCCUGUGACGAAGCGUGCGUGACGGUAAUUGAUAAAGAAGCACCGGCUAACUACGUG
rnacentral:rRNA from 1 species